rnacentral:rRNA from 1 species
GACGAACGCUGGCGGCGUGCUUAACACAUGCAAGUCGAACGGAAAGGCCCUGUUCUUGUGGGGUGCUCGUGUGGCGAAAGGGUGAGAAACACGCGAGUAACCUGCCCCUGACUUUGGGAUAACUUCAGGAAAAUGGGGCUAAUAUAGGAUAGGAGCUCUUGAUGCAUGGUGGGGGUUGGAAAGAUUCGGCGGUUUGGGAUGGAAUCGCGGCUUAUCAGCUUGUUGGUGGGGUAGUGGCUUACCAAGGCUUUGACGGGUAGCCGGCCUGGGAGGGUGACCGGCCACAAUGGGACUGGGGUACGGCCCAGACUCCUACUGGGGGCAUCGGUGGGAAAUAUUGCGCAAUAGGCCGAAGCCGGAAGCAACAACGCCGCGUGCGGGAUGACGGCCUUCAGGGUAUAAACCUCUUUCGCCUGGGACGAAGCGUGAGUGACGGUAAUUGGUAAAAAAGCACCGGCCAACUACGUG